GCCUUUGUGGUGUAAUGGUCAGCACGCUCGGCGCGUAUUCGAGAGGUCCGAGGUUCGAGUCCCGGCGACGGCA
rnacentral:tRNA from 1 species